rnacentral:tRNA from 1 species
UUAAUUGAAACCAAAAUUAGAGGUAAAUUAUUGUUAAUAAUUUUAAUGAAUUUAAAAUUCCAAUUAUU